GCUGGGAGGCCGUGCCGCUCCCAUGUCACCGUCGUGCUCAGCCUCCUCGAGCUCCGCUGGGAGCCGGAGCCGCUGGGCCGCGCCUGGAGAAGCCCUAGCGCCCGCCGGCGGCUGGGAACGUAGCGGGCGCGUCACGGCUGCCGCUCUCGGAGAGCGGCUGUGCCCGGCCCGCCAGGGGGAGGCGCAGCCGCCCCGCCCGAGGGUAACUGAAACAACUAGGUUCCCUUGGAGGCCUGUUUCCAGCUUCUGUCCUCACAGACGACAAACAUGCUAGAGGUAAAUAUGGGAAACACCUGUUUAAUGGAUUGGAUUACAGCCAGUGGUUAUUGAAUGAUAAUUUACUGUUAUAUCUAAUUAACAGACAAUUUGUGAGCAAAUCAACACAAUAAAACUUUCCUGAAGAAUUUAAACAACCUAAUGUCCACCUUUUACAGCAUCUCUCAUUGGCUCAAUGUGAAUUUUUGUCUCAGCAAUUUGUUUAGGAUUUGAAAGCUAUUAAGAUCUAUCUUUCAUGUGACCUGAUGUUCACUCUUAGAUGGAGCUGCUAGACAGCUUAAUUAGUUCAGCUAAUGAUUGCGUUCUGAAACCUAAUGCCAAUUUGUAUUUAAACAGCAGCUCAGUGUGUUUCUCUAAAGCAACGCUUAAGUUUUUAAAUACUAGUAGUUAAUAAGCAUUUGGAGCUGAAGAUUACAGCUGUAAAUACAGGGUAAAGUGCAAACAGGGACGCUGUUGUCGAAAACAAACCCACUGCAAAUUAGGCCAGUCAGUACUAGCAGAAAACCCAUCUUGUUUGCUCUGUUAAUCUUCUGGUUUUAUUCUACAAUUGUUUACUUUGUGUGCUUUUUUUUUCCCACCAGAAAACCCAGUUGUUAUCUUAGAGGGUCCCUCUUCUGCAGCUCAUAGCUGCAGUCAUUACCCAUGGAGUGACUCCUAUAUUCCUUUCAGGACUCAAGUGGCACCUUAUGAGAUUUCCACUGUAGGAGCCUUAGUAAUGUUUUCCUUGCAGCCUAUUGUUUACAGCUGGAACACCUGGCAUUGAGAAUCUCUACGUUGCACAGUGCUUCCUGCCCCAUUAAUUACUCUUCUCUGUUCAACUUUGGUAAUGUGCUCAACACUAGAGAUUAGAAAUUCACUGGCUUAGUUUUCUCCUGUCCAUAAUUCAAAGGGAAUUUGGCUCUAACACUUACAUAGAUAGCUAUAACAAUACACAGUUGCAUAUUUUACUUAAGACCAUCAGUGCACUGCCAUCUUGUGACAAUUUAUCUGUUGAAAAUUGAAUGCUUGGUUUUUCUUUUUCUUUUUUUUUACUAGGUGCAGGGAUUUCUUAGGUAUGAAGUUGUUUUUUUUGUUUUUCAUACUGAUGAAGGCUUGAAAGAAAAAAACCAUGGAAACUAUUUGGGUUGCAUUUAAGUGUACAAAGUGUACAAAAAUGACAUGUAGGAGCAAUGAAAAUAAACCUUUGUUACACUGGAAAUUGCUAGACAACUUCAAAAUGAAGAUGAGCUACAAAUCAUUAAAUUACUAAUUUGCAGAUUGUUUUGAAUUACUUUUUAACACCCGUGUUGUGAAAUGCUUUUUGCUGAACUGCAGUGUCUGUACAAGGUUAGAAAAGGUCACCUCUAAGAUGUAUGAAGGAAAGCAGUGAGUGGUGGUGGGUUUGUGGAUUUCCUUGUUACUAUUGGUAGCAAUACUUACAGGCACUACAGAGUAGUUAUUAGUUAAAACAUAGGUUUAGUACUUUAUUAGAAUGCAAUUUUGUCAGCAUUACAAAAGAAAAACCACUAUACAGACAGGAAUGCUGUAAGCAACCCCUCACAGAACACGGCAGUUGCUUUAACACCAUGCAUGCUUUGGCUUGGCACUAGCAGCACUGCAGCAAAAUGUAGCUUUAGCUUCAUGUGAUGGUUUUGUUGGGUAGACCUCACUUUCUUCAGAAGCACAUUUUUACUGAUUAAGACUUCCUCUACAAAGCUUGAAGUCUUACUUUAGAUCUGAUCAACAGGACUAAGAAACUUAGAGGGAAGAUGUGACAAUGCAACUGCCUUGCUAUCAACUUCAGUUUGAAAAGCUCAGUACCUUUUUGCUCCCAAAUACACCCACUUGUAGUUAUGGAAAAUGAAGCUCUAAACACCAUUCUGGAGAACAGAGUAAGAGGAGGCCUAUAAAAGAGACCACAGGACACCCACCACCAAUUUGUAUUUAUUGGAUAAUCAGGUAUCAAGAUGACACAUGCAGCUGUGUGAACUUUUGUUACUGUGGUGUACUGUGCAAAUGCAUUGCAGCUUCAGUGAUGACACAGGCCAUAAUAAAUCAUCAUACAAUGCCUAGGAGCUGACCAAGUAUGCAAGAAGGUAAAAAACCAUCUGACUGGUGAAAACUCUAUGAGAACAACAAUUUCAUAGGGAUUUCUCCACAGACACCCUUUAUGGUGGACUAUGUGCUUCUCCCUUCCCCUAAGUGCUAACACUCAAACUUCUGCUUCUAACAGGCACUAAGAGCUGCAAAGCAAGAGAACAACUGUUAAAAGGGAAGGUGUAACUUGUGGCAAAACAGAUCAAUGUAACAUGAAGGGGGUUUCCCAGGUAAAGAUUGUGUGAAUGAGAAUUUAUCAUCUCAUCUAAAAGAAAACAGUGACAGCACCAUUAUAGGAUUUCACUUGCAUCAUGCACUCUGCUUGGAAAAUGAAUCGAAACACUAAAGUUACAGGGGGUGAAUGUACUGCUUCAUUAUGUUCUCAGCAAGUUAUCCCCUUUCUCCAGUGUGGCUGAGUUACCGAAACGAGAUCAGCUGACAGAACUCUUUACAGGCAUUAAGUUUUGUGUUUGGCUUCACCACCUCCUCCCCCUCCCCCACCCAAGUAAGAAGAUUUCAUGUACAAUCAUCACAACUCAAAGAAUGCAUUCUUCCUCCCAACAUGCGACAUGAUAUUAAGUGCAACUUCUCUCAUUUCCUAUACACUUUUCAUCACUUGAAGUAUUAGAGAAAGCAAAUUAAAUUCAGCUUUCAUUGUAAAUGACAGAGAAUAGAGCCUGAGCAGCCAGUACCCCAACAUUAACUUGUCUUUACCACUACUUGCUACAAGUAAGUCAAUCCACUGUACUUCAAACACACAAGUGUGCAUUUUUUCCUCCCACAACAUUUACCAACAAGUCAUAUUGUCUAUCACAUUAUUGCACCUUGCUGCAGAAUGGGCUUGCUGAGGCAAGCUGGGCCUGUAAUUGACAACCUGAUUUGUUUUCUUAUGAAACUGCAACAUACCUGAAUAACAGCAUUAGUUUGUUUUCAAAAGAAGGUAACAGAGGGACAUAAAACCUACUUCUCAUAAAUUAAAAAAUACACAUUAAGGAGCAGUAAUUGAUCACUGUAGUUUUUGUUCAGAAUUGCUUGUUUUCAGUGUUAGGUUGACUCAAGAUGAUAGCUUCUGUGCUGAACUCAUCAGCCAACAUUGUGAUUAUCUUAAUUCUUAAGAAUGUACCAUGAAAAGAAAAAGUUGCAGAAUUUUAACAGUAAAACAAUGAGCUUUCAAGACUUCACUCCAAUAGCUUUGUUUUUGCACGCCACCACUCACCCCUUAAGAAGACUCCCAUCACCAGUGGAUCAAAACAACAUACACUUCCAUGCAAAUGAUGUAAAGUAAAUAUGAAACUAUUGAAAGAGUGUAAAUAUCAAGCAGAGAGAUGAUUAUUAUUCCCUUCAGAAGUAUUUUUUUGUAGUUAUGUGAUCUGAAUGCCGACUUGUCAACUGUAAGGAAAAACGUCCAUUAACUAAACCUGAAGUUCCAGGAAAAAAGGCAAAUUCCUAAUCAAGUGAUUAAAUCAUUCUGUUGGAAAGAGGAAAGUAAAGCAGAUUUUGCACAUCUUCAUUUUCUGCUUCCAUUGCAGCCCACUGGAUACCUAUGCAAAUAUUUCAAAGUUCAACUUGACAUACAAAAAAAAAAAGUCAUUUGAAAUCCUUAAAUAGUGUUUUUGGAUUAUAAUAAAGGUUAAACGCAUGAGUCUACUGGAACCAGGCACAGACAUUUCAAGUUUAGAAUCAAUUAUGUAAGCAAGCAAUAGGUUGAAACAGACACCUUCCCUCAAACACAUUCCCAACUAGAGCUUUCCCAAGCUCGUGACUGUUGUUUGAAGAUGCAACCAUCAGCAAUAUGGUUCUGGUACAGCAGGAAGUUUACUUUCCAUUAAAUCUUUCUUCGUUGACACUAAAAGCUCUUUAUAGGUAAGAAGGAUAAAGCUACCGAUGAACUGUUGUAAGUGGUAAGUUGCAUUAAAGGGAAAGGAGUAGGGUUGUUUUUUUUUUUUAAGUCAAUAAAAAAACCCAGCCAGAUAGCUGUUUUAAAGCAAUUGCAUCCAAAAGCAAAAAAAUCAGCUUUUUUUUU